rnacentral:rRNA from 1 species
UACGGAGAGUGCAAACGUUGUUCAGAUUCACUGGGCGUAAAGGGCACGUAGGCGGCAAUUCAAGUCAGCUGUGAAAUCUCCGGGCUUAACUCGGAACGGUCAGCUGAUACUGCUUUGCUAGAGUGCAGAAGGGGCAAUCGGAAUUCUUGGUGUGGCGGUGAAAUGCGUAGAUAUCAAGAGGAACACCUGAGGUGAAGACGGGUUGCUGGGCUGACACUGACGCUGAGGCGCGAAAGCGUGGGGAGCAAACAGG